GAUUCAUCCGCAUCCCCUCGCUCCCCACCUCCUGUGCGAGCCAGCCCACCACCAACGCCCAGCCAGAGGAGACCUGGCGACGGGAGUGAGGGCCGAUGUACUCUCCGGUGAUCACCGACGCCUCACGGAGGACCCCUCCUCGUCGGAAGAGGAGGGGACGACGACGGGGGCAUGGGAGGCUGCACCGAGGCCAAGGCUCGCCGGAGCCCAUGAGCCAGCGCGACGGCCGGGCUGGCGGUCGAGGGCAGCGACGGCGCGCCCAAAGAGGCGGCCGAAGCGCCGCUCCGCGCGGCUGCUCGUGCCCGCGGUCGUUUCCCGCGGUGGCGAGGCGUUAGUGUCCGCACCAUCCAUCCCCACUCCGAGGCGGACGACGCCAGAGGCGCCGGUUGGUGCAGAGACGAAGCCGAGUGCGGCCUCCUCGUCCACCAUGACCCGCAUCGGGACGGGCGCAUAGCCAGGGGGGCCAAAGUGAUUGAUCUAUCAUUGUCGAUGGUUACAGAGAGUAUAUAUAACUCCUGGAGAGACGCGACGACAGAAAGGAGAUGCGUCGGUUCCAGACAGUUGGGAGAGAGACGCCCGUGCGGGAGGAAACCGCUCGAACGGUUACUCAAAAGAAGAUUUUCCCUUAAUUUAUGUAAUUAGUUUUAACACCAACCACGUGGCCGUUGUUGGCGCGGCAGCUUGAACGUGAUGGCCUGAUUCUCACUGUGCCACCGCAGCGCCUCCACCUUCUAACUGUGCCAUAGAAAUUAGCCCGAUGCUCUACCUGUCGGUGACUUUUCUCCCUUGUCGUUAGACUUCAUAUAUACAUAAGAUGAAAAACAAUAGAAUACAUAA
rnacentral:lncRNA from 1 species